rnacentral:rRNA from 1 species
CCUACGGGAGGCAGCAGUGGGGGAUAUUGCACAAUGGGGGAAACCCUGAUGCAGCGACGCCGCGUGUGGGAAGACGGUCUUCUGGAUUGUAAACCACUGUCCCCAGGGACGAAAAUGACGGUACCUGGGGAGGAAGCUCCGGCUAACUACGUGCCAGCAGCCGCGGUAAUACGUAGGGAGCAAGCGUUGUCCGGAAUUACUGGGUGUAAAGGGAGCGUAGGCGGGGAUGCAAGUUGGUUGUAAAAACUACCGGCUCAACCGAUAGUCGCACUUAAAACUGCAGCUCUUGAGUGAAGUAGAGGCAGGCGGAAUUCGUAGUGUAGCGGUGAAAUGCGUAGAUAUUAGGAGGAACACCAGUGGCGAAGGCGGCCUGCUGGGCUUUUACUGACGCUGAGGCUCGAAAGUGUGGGGAGCAAACAGGAUUAGAUACCCGAGUAGUC